GUAAACGAUGAUUACUAGGUGUUGGGGGAUUGACCCCCUCAGUGCCGCAGUUAACACAAUAAGUAAUCCACCUGGGGAGUACGACCGCAAGGUUGAAACUCAAAGGAAUUGACGGGGGCCCGCACAAGCAGUGGAGUAUGUGGUUUAAUUCGAAGCAACGCGAAGAACCUUACCAGGUCUUGACAUCCGAUGCAUAGCACAGAGAUGUGUGAAAUCCUUCGGGACAUCGAGGCAGGUGGUGCAUGGUUGUCGUCAGCUCGUGUCGUGAGAUGUUGGGUUAAGUCCCGCAACGAGCGCAACCCUUAUUGCCAGUUACUACGUUAAGAGGACUCUGGCGAGACUGCCGUUGACAAAACGGAGGAAGGUGGGGAUGACGUCAAAUCAUCAUGCCCUUUAUGACCUGGGCUACACACGUACUACAAUGGCGUUAAACAAAGAGAAGCAAGACCGCGAGGUGGAGCAAAACUCAAAAACAACGUCUCAGUUCAGAUUGCAGGCUGCAACUCGCCUGCAUGAAGUCGGAAUUGCUAGUAAUCGCGGAUCAGCAUGCCGCGGUGAAUACGUUCCCGGGCCUUGUACACACCGCCCGUCACACCAUGAGAGCCGGGGGGACCCGAAGUCGAUAGUCUAACCGCAAGGAGGACGUCGCCGAAGGUAAAACUGGUGAUUGGGGUG
rnacentral:rRNA from 1 species